GAUGAACGCUGGCGGCGUGCCUAAUACAUGCAAGUCGAGCGAACAGACGAGGAGCUUGCUCCUCUGACGUUAGCGGCGGACGGGUGAGUAACACGUGGAUAACCUACCUAUAAGACUGGGAUAACUUCGGGAAACCGGAGCUAAUACCGGAUAAUAUAUUGAACCGCAUGGUUCAUUAGUGAAAGACGGUUUUGCUGUCACUUAUAGAGGGAUCCGCGCCGCAUUAGCUAGUUGGUAAGGUAACGGCUUACCAAGGCAACGAUGCGUAGCCGACCUGAGAGGGUGAUCAGCCACACUGGAACUGAGACACGGUCCAGACUCCUACGGGAGGCAGCAGUAGGGAAUCUUCCGCAAUGGGCGAAAGCCUGACGGAGCAACGCCGCGUGAGUGAUGAAGGUCUUCGGAUCGUAAAACUCUGUUAUUAGGGAAGAACAAAUGUGUAAGUAACUAUGCACGUCUUGACGGUACCUAAUCAGAAAGCCACGGCUAACUACGUG
rnacentral:rRNA from 1 species